rnacentral:tRNA from 1 species
GGGUGCGUAGCUCAGUUGGUAGAGCACUGCCUUUGCAAGGCAGGGGUCGCAGGUUCGAAACCUGUCGCAUCCA